rnacentral:lncRNA from 1 species
UGAAGAAGGAAGCUCUUCAAGAUUGUAUCACUUGUCUUCAAGGUUGCCGAGGAGCUGGACAUUGAUAUGGAUGAUCCAGAGCUGCACAAGGCGGCUAGCAAAAUACAAGCCUCCUUCCGUGCACUGAACGGAAUCUCCCGCCGCAAAUUGAAUGAUUCCUAAUUCAUUUGGCUGCAAAUCUCCAUAUUCCUCAAACUGAAUGAAUGUGAGACCAUAUGAUGCAUCCAACGACCAUUGAACAAAAAUCAUCCAAUUCUAGGAUGAUUUUCAAUUUACAUACGAAUGAAAAUAAGUAGAUUCUUGAAUAAUGAUAACACAGAUGAAAAACAUCUAUUCUAUGACGGAUUUUAGUUUCUUCCAAGUCCCAUAUCGAAAAUCAUUCAAUUUUCUUCUGAAAUAACAUAUGGAUACCAAAUGAUCCAAGUUAUCAAAUCAUCCUUGUAAACUGUAAACAAACAUGGUGGUAGCAACGUGGUGCGGUCGGUAUUUAUGAGCGAAUAUAACUAGGUAAGUGCAUGCUGUUUGUAAUAAUUGUACAAAAUUAUCUUUUCUUAGCAUGUGUUUAUCAACAUAUAGGACACACGAUUCGCUGAUACCUCACAACCCGCUGAUAAUGCACAAAUCGCUUAUGUUUUGGAUUGAAUCAUGGAGCUGUGUUUGGACUAUCAAAGUGUUUGUUGCACAAAAACUUAUGCUCCUGCAGGCGAUUUUAGAUGUUGUUUUUGAUACUAACGAUAGAAUAAACUUAUUAAUCUUACGUAAAACCAUCAAAUAUUGAUCAUUAUUUUUGGAAUUCAAAUUAUUCUAAAUGAUAAACUAGCAUAGCAGGGUUUGUUUACAUGUUCAUAUGAAAAUCAUUCAAUUUCAUCCAUCUUCUAGGAAGCCUAAAUUCAUUUUAAGAUUGGAUGAUUUUCAUUCAGCGCGGUUUGUAAACAGAUGAUUUUCACAAAGAUGAAAAUCAUCUUGAAUGUGUCUGAAAAUAGGUUUGGGGCUCGGAUGAGCCAAAAAUCAUUCAAUUUGUGGCGGGAGAUUCCGUUCAGUGUGGGCACAAAGUCCGCAGGGAUGUGCCCGCCUCUACAUCGGACAGCAAGUAGAAUGGGGAAACGCAUUCGAGCCGAUUAAAAAUUUAUUAAAAUAAAUUUAAAAAAAUAAAUAUUGUAGAUUGCAUUCACAAAUUAAAAUAUUGAAUAAUAAACCAGAUAACUUGGACCGUAUUCACCACACAUUGAUCGAAGUGAUGUUAAAUGAAACUAAAUGUCGAUUAUGAAAUAUAUGACAACUAUUUGUUAUGAUUUUAUAACUUUUAUCGAAGCGAAACAGAAUACAACAGCAGAUAUAGUGUAAUUCGAUUUGGCAUGUUUUGAAACUAACGAGAAAUGACUUUAUAAAAUUAAACACUUGCGAAUAAAUAACGUACCACUCUCGAUACGACAUCAAUAAAAUCUUUCAAGUUUUAAACAACCAACUGCUGCUAAGUUCAUUCUCAUAAGAGUUCCUCCGCAGACAUGUGAAGACACUUUAAAUGAAACAGAUCGAUCCAUUCACUGAAAUGCAGAUCCUAGUUGAACCAUUUGACACGAUUGCAAUUAAUCAAACUUUAGAGAAAAAAAUCGUAUUUCACAACCCCAUCAAACAACCAGCGUAGUAGAAGUACAUCAUAACAAACUACAAUCCAGAGAGCAGUGUUAGAAUUCAACCACAAUUAGAACUUUGCAUAGAGUUUCUCCAUGGCAGACAUUGGCAAACACCGAUGCAAUGUGGUCAAACUGCAUGCAUAUGUAACACUAAACAAACAAUAAUGGAAAACAACAUCAGCUAGUGAAUAAAUAAAUGAGAAUCAUACAAUUGCAGUGAGCUUUAAAUCCCGAUUAAAUUAGUGAAAA